AGUGGCGGACGGGUGAGUAACGCGUGAGAAUCUGCCUUGGGGUCGGGGACAACCACUGGAAACGGUGGCUAAUACCGGAUAAGCCGAUUGGUGAAAGAUUUAUUGCCCGAAGAGGAGCUCGCGUCUGAUUAGCUAGUUGGUGAGGUAAGAGCUCACCAAGGCAGCGAUCAGUAGCUGGUCUGAGAGGACGAUCAGCCACACUGGGACUGAGACACGGCCCAGACUCCUACGGGAGGCAGCAGUGGGGAAUUUUCCGCAAUGGGCGAAAGCCUGACGGAGCAAGACCGCGUGAGGGAGGAAGGCUCUUGGGUUGUAAACCUCUUUUCUCAGGGAAGAAGCUCUGACGGUACCUGAGGAAUUAGCCUCGGCUAACUCCGUGCCAGCAGCCGCGGUAAUACGGAGGAGGCAAGCGUUAUCCGGAAUUAUUGGGCGUAAAGCGUCCGCAGGUGGCGAUUCAAGUCUGCUGUCAAAGCACGGGGCUUAACUCCGUAAAGGCAGUGGAAACUGAAUAGCUAGAGUGCCGUAGGGGUAGAGGGAAUUCCCGGUGUAGCGGUGAAAUGCGUAGAGAUCGGGAAGAACAUCGGUGGCGAAAGCGCUCUACUGGACGGCAACUGACACUCAGGGACGAAAGCUAGGGGAGCGAAUGGGAUUAGAUACCCC
rnacentral:rRNA from 1 species